rnacentral:rRNA from 1 species
UACGUAGGGGGCGAGCGUUGUCCGGAAUUAUUGGGCGUAAAGAGCUCGUAGGCGGUUUGUCGCGUCGGCCGUGAAAACUUGGGGCUUAACCCCGAGCCUGCGGUCGAUACGGGCAGACUUGAGUUCGGCAGGGGAGACUGGAAUUCCUGGUGUAGCGGUGAAAUGCGCAGAUAUCAGGAGGAACACCGGUGGCGAAGGCGGGUCUCUGGGCCGAUACUGACGCUGAGGAGCGAAAGUGUGGGGGAGCGAACAGG